UUCAACCUUUUUAUUUACAUUUUAAUAUUAAUUUUUUACCACUUAUUUUAAUUAUGAUCAAAUUUUUUCCAACACAAACCCUUAUUAUUUUUUCCUCAUAUAUUUUAUUACACUUUGUUUCAUUUCAUUUGAACAUUUUUUGGUUGAGUUCUCAUGCCUUGAACAUUGAUGGCUAAUGAGAUCUAUUUGGUCAUGAUUAUGAAUUGAUUAGGGUUGAUAAAA
rnacentral:lncRNA from 1 species